GUCUUAUUAUUGGAAGCACCAAUAUGAAAAUAGGAAUGAUACAGAGAAAUUAACAUGGACCUGCAUAAGGAUGGCAUGCAAAUUCGGGAAGCAUUCCAUAUUUUU